ACUCCUACGGGAGGCAGCAGUGGGGAAUAUUGCACAAUGGGCGCAAGCCUGAUGCAGCCAUGCCGCGUGUAUGAAGAAGGCCUUCGGGUUGUAAAGUACUUUCAGCGGGGAGGAAGGCGAUAAGGUUAAUAACCUUGUCGAUUGACGUUACCCGCAGAAGAAGCACCGGCUAACUCCGUGCCAGCAGCCGCGGUAAUACGGAGGGUGCAAGCGUUAAUCGGAAUUACUGGGCGUAAAGCGCACGCAGGCGGUCUGUCAAGUCGGAUGUGAAAUCCCCGGGCUCAACCUGGGAACUGCAUUCGAAACUGGCAGGCUAGAGUCUUGUAGAGGGGGGUAGAAUUCCAGGUGUAGCGGUGAAAUGCGUAGAGAUCUGGAGGAAUACCGGUGGCGAAGGCGGCCCCCUGGACAAAGACUGACGCUCAGGUGCGAAAGCGUGGGGAGCAAACAGGAUUAGAAACCCUAGUAGUCCCA
rnacentral:rRNA from 1 species